rnacentral:lncRNA from 1 species
AACUCGUAAUGAAAAGGAAAAAAAGUAUGACGAAGUCGUCGAAAAAGUAGAUGCUGGAAUAUGAGUAAAAACGUGUGUUUGAUUGAUUGAUCGCUCCUCAUUACAAGGCCCUAGGGUCUAUAUUUAUACCGUGCUCAAAGAGUUACAACCAGACACGACUAGAAUUCGAAUUCCAAAUUACAUAGAAUCCGUAUACAAAACGAUUUAAAUAACUAAAGAAAACAUAAAGCUAUCCCCCCGUGACAAAUCGGAACAUCUCCACAAACCAAUCGGCAACUCCCGGACCCUCCUUCCGUGUCAUCAACAGACUCCCUUGUUAUAAUCAUCGGCAGACUUCCUUGUCGUAGCCAUCGGCACAGACAAAUCACCAUCUACAGACUUAGUCACGUUCAAUCUCUCCUUCAUCGGCAACCACCCUGUAGAUAAAACACCGUCGUCCUAUUCUGC